rnacentral:rRNA from 1 species
AGUGAACGCUGGCGGUAGGCCUAACACAUGCAAGUCGAACGGCAGCACAGUAAGAGCUUGCUCUUACGGGUGGCGAGUGGCGGACGGGUGAGGAAUACAUCGGAAUCUACUUUUUCGUGGGGGAUAACGUAGGGAAACUUACGCUAAUACCGCAUACGACCUACGGGUGAAAGCAGGGGAUCUUCGGACCUUGCGCGAUUGAAUGAGCCGAUGUCGGAUUAGCUAGUUGGCGGGGUAAAGGCCCACCAAGGCGACGAUCCGUAGCUGGUCUGAGAGGAUGAUCAGCCACACUGGAACUUAGACACGGUCCAGACUCCUACGGGAGGCAGCAGUGGGGAAUAUUGGACAAUGGGCGCAAGCCUGAUCCAGCCAUACCGCGUGGGUGAAGAAGGCCUUCGGGUUGUAAAGCCCUUUUGUUGGGAAAGAAAAGCAGCAGGUUAAUACCCCGCUGUUCUGACGGUACCCAAAGAAUAAGCAUCGGCUAACUUCGUG